rnacentral:rRNA from 1 species
GAUGAACGCUGGCGGCGUGCCUAAUACAUGCAAGUCGAGCGAACAGACGAGGAGCUUGCUCCUCUGACGUUAGCGGCGGACGGGUGAGUAACACGUGGAUAACCUACCUAUAAGACUGGGAUAACUUCGGGAAACCGGAGCUAAUACCGGAUAAUAUAUUGAACCGCAUGGUUCAAUAGUGAAAGACGGUUUUGCUGGCGCUUGUAGAUGGAUCCGCGCCUCAUUAGCUAGUUGGUGAGGUAACGGCUUACCAAGGGAACGAGGGGUAGCCGACCUGAGAGCGUGACCGGCCACAUUGCGCCUGAGGGACGGCCCAGACUGCUAUGUGCGGCAGCGGGGGAGAAUAUUGCGCAAUGGGCCGAAGGGUGAUGCAGCAAUGCCGGGUGCGGGAUGAUGGCUUUCGGGGGAAAAACAAAUUUCGACGGUGACGAAGCGUGCGUGACGGUAAUGGGUAAAAAAGCCCCGGCUAACUACGUG